rnacentral:rRNA from 1 species
GACGAACGCUGGCGGCGUGCUUAACACAUGCAAGUCGUACGGUAAGGCCCUUUCGGGGGUACACGAGUGGCGAACGGGUGAGUAACACGUGAGUAACCUGCCCACAACUUUGGGAUAACGCUAGGAAACUGGUGCUAAUACUGGAUAUGUGCUCCUGCUGCAUGGUGGGGGUUGGAAAGCUCCGGCGGUUGUGGAUGGACUCGCGGCCUAUCAGCUUGCUGGUGGGGUAGUGGCCUACCAAGGCGGCGACGGGUAGCCGGCCUGAGAGGGUGACCGGCCACAUUGGGACUGAGAUACGGCCCAGACACCUACGGGAGGCAGCAGGGGGGAAGAUUGCACAAUGGGCGCAAGCCUGAUGCAGCAACGCCGCGUGCGGGAUGACGGCCUUCGGGUUGUAAACCGCUUUCAGCAGGGACGAAGCUUUUUGUGACGGUACCUGCAGAAGAAGCACCGGCUAACUACGUG